rnacentral:lncRNA from 1 species
GAGAAGGUGAAUGGAUCCACGGUCAACGUCGGCAUCCACCCCAGCAAGGUGAUCGUCACCAAGCUCAAGCUGGACAAGGACCGCAAGGCCCUCCUCGACCGCAAGGCUCGUGGCCGCGCUGCUGACAAGGCCAAGGGCAAGUUCACCGCCGAGGACGUCGCCGCCGCAGCUGGUGGCGCCACGGCCACCGGCGCCUCGCUCCAGGAGAUUGAUUAAGCUCGGUUGCCAUACUGCUCUUGCUAUCCUAGUUUUUUACCAAUCACCUGUUCUGUUAGGAUAUGCUAUCUGAAAACUGCUGCUUUAUUAUUCGUAAGAUGUCCGUGGAUGAGCG